CCUACCGGGUGGCUGCAGUGGGGAAUAUUGGACAAUGGGCGAAAGCCUGAUCCAGCCAUGCCGCGUGUGUGAAGAAGGCCUUCGGGUUGUAAAGCACUUUCAGUGGGGAAGAAAGCCUUGGGGCUAAUACCCUCGAGGAAGGACAUCACCCACAGAAGAAGCACCGGCUAACUCCGUGCCAGCAGCCGCGGUAAUACGGAGGGUGCGAGCGUUAAUCGGAAUUACUGGGCGUAAAGCGCGCGUAGGCGGUCUGAUAAGCCGGUUGUGAAAGCCCCGGGCUCAACCUGGGAACGGCAUCCGGAACUGUCAGGCUAGAGUGCAGGAGAGGAAGGUAGAAUUCCCGGUGUAGCGGUGAAAUGCGUAGAGAUCGGGAGGAAUACCAGUGGCGAAGGCGGCCUUCUGGACUGACACUGACGCUGAGGUGCGAAAGCGUGGGUAGCAAACAGGAUUAGAUACCCGGGUAGUC
rnacentral:rRNA from 1 species